rnacentral:rRNA from 1 species
UACAGAGGUCCCAAGCGUUGUUCGGAUUCACUGGGCGUAAAGGGUGCGUAGGUGGUGAGGUAAGUCGGAGGUGAAAGCCCGGGGCUCAACUCCGGAAUUGCCUUUAAGACUGCAUCGCUAGAAUUGUGGAGAGGUAAGUGGAAUUCCGAGUGUAGAGGUGAAAUUCGUAGAUAUUCGGAAGAACACCAGUGGCGAAGGCGACUUACUGGACACAUAUUGACGCUGAGGUGCGAAAGCGUGGGGAGCAAACAGG